CGGGAUGUAGCGCAGUCCGGUAGCGCGCUUCGUUCGGGACGAAGAAGUCGCCGGUUCAAAUCCGGCCAUCCCGACCA
rnacentral:tRNA from 1 species